rnacentral:rRNA from 1 species
CAGUAGCCGCGGUAAUACGUAGGGUGCAAGCGCUAAUCGGAAUUACUGGGCGUAAAGCGUGCGCAGGCGGUGUUGUAAGACUGAUGUGAAAUCCCCGGGCUCAACCUGGGAACUGCAUUGGUGACUGCAACGCUGGAGUGCGGCAGAGGGGGAUGGAAUUCCGCGUGUAGCAGUGAAAUGCGUAGAUAUGCGGAGGAACACCGAUGGCGAAGGCAAUCCCCUGGGCCUGCACUGACGCUCAUGCACGAAAGCGUGGGGAGCAAACAGGAUUAGAUACCCCCGUAGUCCCUGUCUCUUAUAC